rnacentral:rRNA from 1 species
AAUUAUACGGCGAAACUGCGAAUGGCUCAUUAAAUCAGUUAUCGUUUAUUUGAUAGUACCUUACUACAUGGAUAACCGUGGUAAUUCUAGAGCUAAUACAUGCUGAAAACCCCGACUUCGGGAGGGGUGUAUUUAUUAGAUAAAAAACCAACGCCCUUCGGGGCUCCUUGGUGAUUCAUGAUAACUUAACGAAUCGCAUGGCCUUGCGCCGGCGAUGGUUCAUUCAAAUUUCUGCCCUAUCAACUUUCGAUGGUAGGAUAGUGGCCUACCAUGGUAUCAACGGGUAACGGGGAAUUAGGGUUCGAUUCCGGAAAGGGAGCCUGAGAAACGGCUACCACAUCCAAGGAAGGCAGCAGGCGCGCAAAUUACCCAAUCCCGACACGGGGAGGUAGUGACAAUAAAUACUGAUACAGGGCUCUUUUGGGUCUUGUAAUUGGAAUGAGUACAAUUUAAAUCCCUUAACGAGGAACAAUUGGAGGGCAAGUCUGGUGCCAGCAGCCGCGGUAAUUCCAGCUCCAAUAGCGUAUAUUAAAGUUGUUGCAGUUAAAAAGCUCGUAGUUGAACCUUGGGCCUGGCCGGCCGGUCCGCCUCACCGCGUGCACUGGUUCGGCCGGGCCUUUCCUUCUGGGGAGCCGCAUGCCCUUCACUGGGUGUGCUGGGGAACCAGGACUUUUACUUUGAAAAAAUUAGAGUGUUCAAAGCAGGCCUUUGCUCGGAUACAUUAGCAUGGAAUAAUAGAAUAGGACGUGCGGUUCUAUUUUGUUGGUUUCUAGGACCGCC